rnacentral:rRNA from 1 species
UGGGAAUAUUGCACAAUGGGCGCAAGCCUGAUGCAGCAACGCCGCGUGAGGGACGACGGCCUUCGGUUGUAAACCUCUUUAGUCAGGGAAGCGGUACCUGCAGAAAAAGAACCGGCUAACUACGUGCCAGCAGCCGCGGUAAUACGUAGGGUGCAAGCGUUGUCCGGAAUUAUUGGGCGUAAAGAGCUCGUAGGCGGUUUGUCGCGUCUGCUGUGAAAACCCGAGGCUCAACCUCGGGCCUGCAGUGGGUACGGCAGACUAGAGUGCGGUAGGGGAGAUUGGAAUUCCUGGUGUAGCGGUGGAAUGCGCAGAUAUCAGGAGGAACACCAAUGGCGAAGGCAGUUCUCUGGCCGUAAACUGACGCUGAGGAGCGAAAGGUGGGGAGCGAACAGGAUUAGAUACCCUAGUAGU